rfam:Ovis aries breed Texel chromosome 17, whole genome shotgun sequence.
UCCCUGGUGGUCCAGUGGUUAGGACUCAGCACUUUCACUGCCAGGGCCCAGGUUCAAUCCCUGGUUGGGGAA